GGGGGGGGAGCAAGGACGCAGACCAUCCUACCCUAAACUCAAAGGAGUGGGCCUUGCUGCGGGUCACUCUCUCCCUCUGUUUUGCAGCAAGGCCGUCGACAUAGCCGUCGUGACCACGUAUUUCAAGCCCCGUGUCUCGCGAAGCCGGCAGCCAUGGUAUUCCGCAGAUUUGUGGAGAUCGGGCGCGUCGCCCUCAUUAACUAUGGCCCCCAUUAUGGUAAGCUCGUCGUGAUCGUUGACGUGAUCGACCAGAACCGGGCGCUUGUCGACGCUCCCGACAUGGUCCGGACCCAGAUUAACUUCAAGCGUCUCUCGCUUACGGACAUUACCAUCCCCGAGCUACCGAGGACUCCCCCGAAGAAGGUGCUCAAGAAGGCGUAUGAUGAUGCCGAGGUGGAGCAGAGGUGGGCCAACUGCGCCUGGGGCAAGAAGCUCGCUGUGCGCACUAAUAGAGCAAGUUUGAACGAUUUCGACCGUUUUGUAGUUAUGGUGGCGCGAGUCAAGAGGAGCUGCAUUGUGCGUCGGGAGCUCGGAAAGCUUAGGAGGGAAAAAGCUUAGGUCAACUGAAAACCUGGACGCUCAUGUCGAUGGACACAUUUCGAGUUUGUAGUCGCUAGCAAUCGUGCUAUUUGGGCCCUGCUGCAAUUAAUACGUGUGGGAUGAGAAGCAGAAGAGACUUGUGACAAUUUUCCUACUUAUGAAAUUUUGUUCAUCAAUGGAUUGCGGUACCAUUUUUCAAUGGGGACUAUUCUUCAUCUCACCACCUUUGGCGAACAGCAUAACUUGCAUGUUUGUUUACAUCAAGCCCCAGACAGUUACUUCGUACCCUCAGGUUUUCUGUAGCAAUUAUCUUUCUUCGCUCAAAGACAGGUUUUCUGGAGUCUCCAGUGUAUUGCAAAACGGAGCUGCACUGAGAAAUGAUUGUCUGUAGGCAACAGGUGGCUAGCUUAGUCCAUGUUGAUAUCUUCCUCGGAAACUGAUGUGAAAAUGUUUACGGCUCGCAGUGAGAUAAGCUGCUUUUGAAUAUAGUUGGUGCAAGUGCCCUUUUGACACCUUGAACACCUUUUGACCUUCUCUGAUA